rnacentral:rRNA from 1 species
UACGAAGGGUGCGAGCGUUGUUCGGAUUUACUGGGCGUAAAGGGCGCGCAGGCGGCGCAUUUUGUCAGGCGUGAAAGCCCCGGGCUUAACCUGGGAACUGCGUUUGAUACGGAUGGGCUAGAGUUCGGGAGAGGAGAGUGGAAUUCCCAGUGUAGAGGUGAAAUUCGUAGAUAUUGGGAAGAACACCGGUGGCGAAGGCGGCUCUCUGGACCGAGACUGACGCUGAGGCGCGAAAGCGUGGGGAGCAAACAGG